CUAUAAUAAUUCUUAUAAAACUAAGUUAUUUUUUCCAAUCAACUGAAUACUUCCUUGAUUGUAUCAUUUUAUUUAAUGCUAAUGCUUCCUCCUGCUUUUAGUUGCAACCACAAAGCACUUGCAUCCAGCUCAAGCUAAUUACGUGGAUCAUUGCCAUAGGAGGUAUUUGCUUCACCUCCCACAAAAUCAUUAUCUGUCAUGAUCUGCCACUUGCCCUGGCGGCUUUGUUUGUGUUAUCAUCCAAGUCUCAGAAAGCCCAUAUUAUCUUUCCCCAGUGGCAUCUAACGAUUGAUUAGUAGCAGUCAGAAAAGACUUUAAAUGGCAAUUAGCUCUCAAGUCGGUCAGUGACUUUAACACUCAUAUUUGUCAGGCAUCUAUACUUCCUGGAUGACCUAAAUAGGGACCUAGCUCUGGGGUCACUGGAAUAUUCCCUAAUGGUCUGUGAAGAGCUGAGAGGUCAGGUAUACAAUAAUACUUCUAUUUGCAGUUGGAUGAACAGAAAAAGUGUAUUCAGCGUUCCACAGUACUAUAUACAUCUCCAGAGAGGUCUGUCCAGACUUUCUGGAAGGCUACUGAUGUGCCUUCCUGUCAAGGAAGAUCUGAUUUUGUAGAAACCAAGAUUGGGAGCUCUACCUAAAGUGGCUUGUCUUCACUUCUGUUGAGAAAGGUUGAUGAAUUGUUCCUGCUGUGUCUUUGGCAAUGCUUAGUCCACAGAGAGCCAGCAAGUCAGGUUCCCAGGGCAGGUGUUGGCUUCCUUCUGCACCCAAAGCCACAACUUCAUGGCUCCUAGGAUUCCUCUGGCUUCACAUGAGUUACACAAGGAAAGAAGAGGACACAGACACAAGAGUGAUAGCAAGGAGCUUCUCUGCACUGUAUUUUGUACUUUGGGGUAUCUGCAGGUAGAUUCUCACAGUAAACAGCUGUGAAUCGGUUUGUGCCAGAGCACUGCCUCCUGGCUUAUUCAGUGAGAAUGAAGGGGGAAAAUGUGAAUUUCCCCAUGAAAAAAUAAAAUUAUAAUUAGCUGUUCCA